rnacentral:rRNA from 1 species
GCUAAUACCGCAUGAUGCCUACGGGCCAAAGAGGGGGACCUUCGGGCCUCUCGCGUCAGGAUAUGCCUAGGUGGGAUUAGCUAGUUGGUGAGGUAAGGGCUCACCAAGGCGACGAUCCCUAGCUGGUCUGAGAGGAUGAUCAGCCACACUGGAACUGAGACACGGUCCAGACUCCUACGGGAGGCAGCAGUGGGGAAUAUUGCACAAUGGGCGCAAGCCUGAUGCAGCCAUGCCGCGUGUAUGAAGAAGGCCUUCGGGUUGUAAAGUACUUUCAGUCGUGAGGAAGGCGGAGUCGUUAAUAGCGGCUUCGUUUGACGUUAGCGACAGAAGAAGCACCGGCUAACUCCGUGCCAGCAGCCGCGGUAAUACGGAGGGUGCGAGCGUUAAUCGGAAUUACUGGGCGUAAAGCGCAUGCAGGUGGUUUGUUAAGUCAGAUGUGAAAGCCCGGGGCUCAACCUCGGAAUAGCAUUUGAAACUGGCAGACUAGAGUACUGUAGAGGGGGGUAGAAUUUCACGUGUAGCGGUGAAAUGCGUAGAGAUCUGAAAGAAUACCAGUGGCGAAAGCGGCCCCCUGGACAGAUACUGACACUCAGAUGCGAAAGCGUGGGGAGCAAACAGAUUAGAUACCCUGGUAGUCCACGCCGUAAACGAUGUCUACCUUGGAGGUUGUGGUCCUUGAGCCGUGGCUUUCGGAGCUAACGCGUUAAGUAGACCGCCUGGCGGAGUACGGUCGCAGAUUAAUACUUCAAUGAUUGACGGCGCCCGCACGAGCGUGC